UGAUCCUGGAUCUGCCCUGUACCUCAACUCUUUUCUGAUUCUUUCCAGGGAGAGAGGGACAGAGAACAAGACCAAAGACAAGUCGGGGCUUCUGCUGGGGACGGGAGUCGCUAUUCAUCCAGGAAGACCAGUACAGGUGGACUGGGCCUUCGGCAACUGUCCUUCCCCAGUUCCCGGGCCCUCAGUUUUCCCUUCUGUAAAAUGGAACUGAAAUUAUUUUCUCCCUGCCUCUCUCUCUUGGCAGUAUGGAUGUGAAAGCUGCUGCAAACAGCAGAGAGCAGAUUUGAACAAAACCGAGAGACUCUGACAUGGAACCUGGUUGCCGUUCUCCCUCGACCUCCUGGACUGGAAUCUGUGCAGAUCUGCACUCUGUGCAAGUGGGUCUGUGCUUUGCCGUGUCUUGCUGGAGCUGGUAAUUAGGUGCGGCUGUGGCUCCUGCCUUGCCCUGCAAAGACUUUUCUCUAAUUGCUCUAAUCUGUGUUUUCACGCGCUUGCUGGAAAAAGAAGAGCCGCCAGUUUCAUGGACGGAGGAACAAUAAAGAAAUGAAGUUCUCACCUCAAACAAGACAAUGGCAGCUAAUCCUUCAGAGCCCCUCCUGAGGUACCUGGCAUUGCUCCAAGCUCUUCCCAGACAUGUCAUCCAGGCCAGCACUUUGCUGUCUCAACAGCACUUGUGUCAACAGCUCCAGCCGCUGGUCCACAUGCAGCAUCAGUGAUAUUGGGCUGCAGACCCACUCCAGGUCAGGCCAAGGCGGAUUCACAGUAGCUGGGAGCUGGGAUUUGAAUGCUGGGCUGUCGGGCAUCUGGGUAGCUAAAAGGAAGGCAGGGAGGCUGGGGGUGCCUCUGUAAAAUGGGGAUGCCAGAGGUGGUGGUUGCACAGUAGUACUACCUCUCAGGCUUUUGUGUAUGAGUUAGUGAUGGCUUCCCAUUGCUAAGGUAGAGAUCAAAGCAGUUUAAAGCAGAUUGAGGCUUCUCUCUCUUUUACAUAAAGGAUGUCAGGAGGUCUGCAUCCAGGGCUGGUGCGGGGGCUCAACAGUGUGAUCAGGGACCAGGCUCCUUCUCUCCUUUAGUCCCAGUUUUAGUCCUUUGGCUUCCAUCCUCAAGGUCACCUCAUGCUCCAAGGUGGCUCCUAGAUUUCCAUAAUCGCAUCUAUUUUCCAGGGUUAGGGGUAGGUGGGUGGGAACUGCGCAGCCGAAUGUUCUCCUGUGUCCCACCUAACUUACACCCGCCCCUCAUUGGCCUCUCCUAGCUGCAAGGGAGGCUGAAACAUGGCAUCUUGGCUGGGCACUUGGCCAUACGCGUGUUUGUUACUAAGGUGAAGGGGAGGCAGGAUGUUUUAAGGGAACCCUGUGGUCUCUGCCACAGAGUACAGUGGAGUCCUGUGCACCCCAAGGUGAAGCCUGCCUUUUUCCAGGUGCUGCGACUGUUUCAGACCCAACAGCCAGAGAGCGUGAGGGAAAGAGCCCCAGCAGUGAGUGCCAGGAACCAGGCCCUUCAGGGGCUCGCUAGUUUGGUGUUUAAUUUCCCCCUUAGUAUUCUGUAGCAGUUGCAGCCUUGGGGAAGGGGGUUCUGCUGGACAACCAUGGAGGGGCGAGGGCGAGAGGGGGAGAGGGGAAAAGGCUGCUAAGCAUGGGCUCUGUGCCUGCAGGUAUGUUCCAGAAGGAAUUGUGAUGACAGCAGUGAUAGCACAGCUAGGCAUUGAGUUGGGAGGUUUGAGUGGUCCACCUGGGAAGGCAGGAUAGGGGGAGGCUAGAGUCUCGAGGAUAUGGGUGGCCAGCAGAUGGUGGCCCAUCUGGGGAGACUUCCUGACGCUCUCCUGCAGGCCCAGCCCCAGGUGACCCCGGCCCAGUGACCUAGUCCCUGCCCCUCCCGCUCCACAGCUCUCAGGCCCUGAGAGGGCCCCCUCAAAACUCUUCCCUUCCCAGUUACUAACGCCCCUCCCUCACCCAAAAGGCAGCCAUUCUCCUGCCCUCUGUCACCAGACAUUGCUUUUGCCUGUUCUCACACUUCAUGUAAACAGAGUCACACAGCAUGUUCUCAUGUUCUCGGACUUAGCCUGUGAGAGUCACACAGGUUGUGGCCUGUAUAUAGCAGUUGAUUCUUUUUUUUUUUAUUGCUGAGUAAGCUUCCACUAUUUGUUUACUUGUUCACCUGUGGACGGCAUUUGGGUGGUUUUCUGUCUGAAGCUGUCAUGAGUGAAGCUGCAGUGAGCAUUCAUGACCACGUCUCUGUGCAGACACGUGCUCUCACUUCUCUUGGGUAAGUGCCUAAGGGUGGGUCAUCGAACAGGUGUAUGUUUGACUUUAUAAGAAACUGCCGAACUGCUCUUCAAACAGAUUGAACUACUGAAACUCCCUCUAGCUGUAGAGGAGAGUUGAUCCUCAUCUUUCUGAUAUAGGAUAUUAUCAGUAUUUUAAAUUUUGGCCAUUUCUGAGGGUGAAACGGUAGCUUAUAGUGAUUUCAAUCUGCGUUCUCUCUGACAGUCGCUAAGGUUGAAUGUCUUUUCAUGUGCACGUAGGCCAUUUUGAUAUUCUCUUUUGUGAAGUGCUAGUUCAUAUCUUUUGUCUACUUAAACAAAAUUGAGUUGUUCCUUUUUUUCUUAUUGAUUUCUAGGAGUUCUUUAUAUAUGCUGGAUAUUAGUCCUUUGUCAGAUGUAUGUAUUGAAAUAUCUUCUCUGCAUCUGUGGAUUGGCUUUUCUUUCUCUUAAUGGUGUCUUUCGCUAAACAUAAGUUCUUCAUUUGAAUAAAACUGAAUCGAUCAUGUUUUUCUUUUAUGGCUAUUGUUUUUUUUGUGCCCUGUUUAAGAAUGCUUUGCCUCCCAAAGCAGUCUUUUUAACACAUGCCUCUACCUGGCCUCACCCUACCCACCUCUCUCUGCCUCAUUUUCUAUUAGAAGUCUCAUCUGGAGGAGAGGUAAGGAGGGGGAGAGAUGGGAUGGGAGAUCUGUGGUGAAGUGCAGGGUUAAAGCCUCAAUUACUAGGCUCCCCCUGACACCAGAUCUGUGUUCCCCACCCCCUUGCUUCCUCUGUGUGGAUUUGGGUUUAUGCUGGGUUGCAAGAUUAAAACCAAAGAGAUUAAAAGAUUACCUUUGGCUGGGAAGGCAAAUUCUGCCUCUUUGCUCCUGGAGCCAUGGGGGGUGGCGAGGAGGGCAGAGGUGGUACUGACGGAGCCACCUCCACCUCCAGGGCCCUUUUCUUCCUGUCAAGAGCCUGAGGCCAGGGCACCCUCACCCUCUAGGCCUCAGUUCCCAAAUUAUAGAGUAGACAAAGGAUCUGGGCUGGAAAGUGAGCACCAACCUGGGCAGCACUGGGUUCUCAAAGUGUGGCUCCUGGACCAGCAGCAGUUCCAGCAUCAGCUGGUUACACGUGUUAGAGAUGCAAACUUCAGGUCUCUCCCCAGACCUACUGAGGCAGAACUAGAAGGUUGGGUGGGGUGGGCAGGCAGUGGCCUGGGUUUUAAAGCCCUCUAGAGUAUUCAGCUGUACGCCAAGGUCUGCGCACCAGUGCUUUUAAUGAUGGUAACAAUUGCUGAUAUUUAGAGCAUUUAACUGUGCUUACCAACAGCUCUUCUAAAGAGUAGGUGCCCAUGCACUUGUGAUGCAAAUAUGAUUGCUCGGUCCACUCUACACAGAAGGAAACGAAGGCACAGAAGGUGAAGCAUCUUGCCCAGGGUCACACAGCUGCUAAGUGGCCAUGCCUGGAUUUGGACGUGGGGAGGCCGGCUCCAGAGGCCGAGCUACUGGUACUGCUCCAUACCGUUUUGAGCUCCCAGUGCUGUGCCCACUGGACCUUUGCAGAAGGCCACGGCUUUCAUCAGCUGCUCCACGGGGUGGUGGCCCCAGA